rnacentral:rRNA from 1 species
UAGCUUGCUACCUGACCUAGCGGCGGACGGGUGAGUAAUGCUUAGGAAUCUGCCUAUUAGUGGGGGACAACAUUCCGAAAGGAAUGCUAAUACCGCAUACGCCCUACGGGGGAAAGCAGGGGAUCUUCGGACCUUGCGCUAAUAGAUGAGCCUAAGUCAGAUUAGCUAGUUGGUGGGGUAAAGGCCUACCAAGGCGACGAUCUGUAGCGGGUCUGAGAGGAUGAUCCGCCACACUGGGACUGAGACACGGCCCAGACUCCUACGGGAGGCAGCAGUGGGGAAUAUUGGACAAUGGGCGAAAGCCUGAUCCAGCCAUGCCGCGUGUGUGAAGAAGGCCUUUUGGUUGUAAAGCACUUUAAGCGAGGAGGAGGCUACUUGGAUUAAUACUCUAGGAUAGUGGACGUUACUCGCAGAAUAAGCACCGGCUAACUCUGUGCCAGCAGCCGCGGUAAUACAGAGGGUGCGAGCGUUAAUCGGAUUUACUGGGCGUAAAGCGUGCGUAGGCGGCUUUUUAAGUCGGAUGUGAAAUCCCUGAGCUUAACUUAGGAAUUGCAUUCGAUACUGGGAAGCUAGAGUAUGGGAGAGGAUGGUAGAAUUCCAGGUGUAGCGGUGAAAUGCGUAGAGAUCUGGAGGAAUACCGAUGGCGAAGGCAGCCAUCUGGCCUAAUACUGACGCUGAGGUACGAAAGCAUGGGGAGCAAACAGGAUUAGAUACCCUGGCAGUCCAUGCCGUAAACGAUGUCUACUAGCCGUUGGGGCCUUUGAGGCUUUAGUGGCGCAGCUAACGCGAUAAGUAGACCGCCUGGGGAGUACGGUCGCAAGACUAAAACUCAAAUGAAUUGACGGGGGCCCGCACAAGCGGUGGAGCAUGUGGUUUAAUUCGAUGCAACGCGAAGAACCUUACCUGGUCUUGACAUAGUAAGAACUUUCCAGAGAUGGAUUGGUGCCUUCGGGAACUUACAUACAGGUGCUGCAUGGCUGUCGUCAGCUCGUGUCGUGAGAUGUUGGGUUAAGUCCCGCAACGAGCGCAACCCUUUUCCUUAUUUGCCAGCGGGUUAAGCCGGGAACUUUAAGGAUACUGCCAGUGACAAACUGGAGGAAGGCGGGGACGACGUCAAGUCAUCAUGGCCCUUACGACCAGGGCUACACACGUGCUACAAUGGUCGGUACAAAGGGUUGCUACCUAGCGAUAGGAUGCUAAUCUCAAAAAGCCGAUCGUAGUCCGGAUUGGAGUCUGCAACUC